UUUUCCCCUUAAUUCUCCAUCUACCCUAUUUGAUAAGUGGGAAUUGAGUUUGGUGCCCCACCCCUUAGGCUUUGCACCCCACUUUAUUAAAUACGGAAUUUAAAGUUCCGUAUCAAUACGGAAAAUAAUUCUCCAUCUACCCUAUUGAAUACGGAACUUAAAAUUCCAUUCACAUUUAAUUCCGUCGAAUAUAUGUAGAUUUUCCCCAUUCUUUCCCUCUGCAGCAGCCCAAUCAAACCCUAUAAUUUUGCCGUUUUAACUCCUUGCAGCCAUGCCUCUAUCUCUCUACCAGAGAUGAGGUUUCGGAAACAUAAACCACCAUUAAUGUGGAUAGCUCCUUUAUUCGAAUUACAGAUGGCGCCAUCCCCCACCCCACCCCACCCCUCUUCUCCUAGUUAAGGUCCAUCAGGUUUUUUGUACAGUUUGACAAGAAUUCUACUGUUACAGAUUCCAUUCCUUAAUGUCGUUGUGGAUGGUGUUUUCCUUCUAAGUGCCGGUGUGGUGUUGUUGCUGCCGAAUCGGUUUCCUGUUGACAUGGCGAGUGAAAUAAUGUUUGAUUAAGGAAGAGAUUACAGAUGGAGGCUCUCAAUUGGCAAGUACAAGCUGGAUCAUCUGCUAUCUGGAUUUUACUAUGGGUACAAGAUGGAUCUUCUGCUAUCUUCUGCUGAAAUUUUCUUGAUGGCCUAUAUUUCCCGGUGUAUAUAUGGUUAAGCAGAGAGUGAAACGAUUAGUAUUUCAUUUAUACUCAUCUUAAUUUUAUUUCCUCUUCUAUGAGUUCUAUGAGAUUGUGUAUGACUAAUAUUAAAAUAGAAUGAUGACUUCAGUUGAGCUUCAGGCUGAUUCCUGUUUGUUUUGCUUUUUCUUUUUGUAAUUUCUGUUGUUACAACACUUAUAUUUUACAUUGAUAGUUCUGUUUGGUGCUAAGAAGGAGAAGCAAUUAACUAAAAUUAAUGGAAGUGUUUUCUGAUGGUAA